AUAACUCCCUUCUCUUUAACACCAUACAACACCAAACUUCAACCAACCGUAAAACAAAGAUAAUAUUAGCACCAGCAGCCAAACCAGAACAACCCAGCUUCAACUCCACAAUUUCAAUCAACAACGAUUUCAACUCGACAACUCGCGACCAACCCAACCCGAUACCAAUUAUGACAACCCAACCCAACUGCAAACCCCAGCGACCCACGCAUCCAACAAUCGAUUUGAAUUUUAAAAAAAUCGAUAUUCGAAUUUGUACGGAAUAGUACGAAUCCAGCUCAUCCAACCUUAUCUAUUCUUGAAUUCAAAAUUUUCCUUCCAAAAUUCCCUUCGAGAACCACAUCCCACAUCAACAGAUUCUAAUUUUGAAACCGUAAAAUUCCUAUAUAAAUACUCCCUCAACAGAGUUGAGGAGGUGGGAGGGGAGAUAGAUACAACGAAGAACCCCAAAGGCAAGGGAUUUUUGCUUGAAGAGAAUUGAUUUCGGUGCCAAGAAAUUCGAUAAGACUCGUUUGAGCACGAAUUUCUAGAAAAAAUUCCAAUUUCAACUCAGUGGUGGCGAGAAUUUUCACUAGCUUGAAGUCCCGGUUCACUGCCCCUAAAAAGGUAAACUGUCCAUCCUUUUCCUUUUCUUUCUCGUGUGAUUAUGUCUCUUCGAAUUUAUGAUAGUUGUAUUUAGUUUUUCAUUUUCUGGUGGGAUUAUGUAUUGUAGAAAGCCUCGAUGGAAGUAGAAUUUACGUGUAAUAGUUAUUGUUAUAUCGUCUGCUGAAUCAAUAUUCAUGUCGUAGUUGUUCGUCUUACUGUUUAGUUUCAUGAUUCUUAUUCUUCUCAUAAAGGCCUAGUAUUUUUCCGUUUUUGUUUUGUUUGAUGAUCCAUUUACACAGUAGUGAAGCUGUGGGUAUAGACUAUAGCAUCUUCAAUUCGUCAUAAAAUGAAAAACUGAAAUUGGUUGGGUUUUUUUCAAAAUUUUCAUGCUUAAGAGUUCGAAUUCACUGCAUGAUCACUAUUUUGUUGUAUAAACAACUCUUGUAUUAAAACCAAAACCUACAUGAAUAUCUUUGGUUCAAUUUGGAAGAGAUUACUGUCAGGCGUUUUACUUAUUUUUGUCAGAUUACUUCAUUUGUUAUGCUUUUAAGUUUGUGUAUAGUUGAACUAUUAGAAAGGAUCUAACCUUCUUGUGUCAAAUUUUGCUAAGUAAAUGAGUGUUUGUCUCGUUGCAAUUAGAAGUCUCAUUUAUUAUAUAGAUAAAUGAAAAGUUCUCUUGUAGCUGAAUUAAGCAUGUACUCACAUGUAUUCAUUUAAGAUAUCAUUUUCUUUAUCCUUUUAGUUAGUUUGGGUCGCUCUUUCUAAUUCAAUACUGAUCUUUAUCAUUAUUUAUUGUGCAUGAAUUGUUCGAGUCUCAUUUUGCCCCUCCGGCAUUUUUUUUGGGACCAAGUCCCUUCCUUAUCUAGUCAAACCCUCCUCAAAGGUCAAAAAUGGAUUAAAUACCCAUAUGCUUAAAUUACUCCAUUAAAUACCUAUAAUUUAGUAGUAUAUGAAUUAAUAUAGUAACUGAAAUUUAAAUUUCAAAAAAACUUUUAAACAUUACUGUUAAUUUUCAUAACUAUUGAUAUAUGUUCUUGAGAAUAAAAAAGUCGACUUCUUUCUUGAUUUCUGAAAAAAAGAAGAUGAACAUCCCCAUAUUAUUGGGUCAUUUCGGUGUCUGGGAAUCGAAAAUCAGUUAUAAAUCAUACGAAAGUAAUGUCAUUAUUGUUUCUGAAAGUAUUAACUUUCUGAAAUUGAUUGCUGCGAUCGCCAUGGAAUUGGAUCUCGACGAAGUACGCAAAAAAUUGAAGUGAUUAAAUCGAGUUUGAAAGAGAAACAGGGGUUGUACUUUGUAUCGAAGGUAGUGAAUAUGAUUCGAUUGCGUCAACGGUCGUUGUAACAAAGAUAUGUACUGCACUGUCGUAACAUAAACUGCAAAUGGGUGUUGAAGGCGUCUUGUAUGAAUCAUUCGAAAAUAUUUUUGAUAAAAAGAUUUGACUCAAGGCACACUUGCAGUCUUAGCGAUGGAGUUGUUGAAUAAUUUAGUUGCGGCAACAGAUUUUGUGAGUGAAUUUACAACAUCAAAAUUAAUUAAUCACAAGAGAAUACACACACCAGUGAACAUAAUUGAAGAGAUGAAGGUUGUUUACGGAGUUGAUAUUAACUAUAUGAAAGUUUGACGCGCAAAAGAAAAGGCGAUUGUGAUCCUUAGAGGUGGACCAAUAGAUGGAUAUCGAAAAAUGCCCUGUUAUAUUUGUAUGCUGAACCAAAUAUAUUCGGAAUCGCACAUUCGGAUGCAUAAGACAUUAUAUAACGAGUUAAAUACUUGUUUAUUGCGUUACAUCCCAUGAUAAGGGUUUUGAAUUUUGUCGACCUGUCGUGGGUGUGUAUAUACUAUGUAAUUUGGCAACUAUUAUAAUAAAUAGUUGUUAAAACGUAAUGUGCAUUACACAAUUAUACAUUAAACUUCCAUAUAUAAGUAAUGCAUGAUAUACUAUUGUACUUUAUUAUCA